AAUAACAAUACAAGGCAGUUAAAAUGCUUUGUAAUUGGAAUGAUAGAAAUUUAAACACUUUUUAAAGUAUCAAUUGGAGGGCAAGUCUGGUGCCAGCAGCCGCGGUAAUUCCAGCUCCAAUAGCGUAUAUUAAAAUUGUUGCAGUUAAAAAGCUCGUAGUUGAAUUUCUGUUAAAAAUAACCGGUCUGCUUUUAAUAAAAGUGGUAUCUUGGUGUGUUUUUAGCAAUAAUGUCCUUUGAAAUGUUUUUUACUUUAUUGUAAUAAAUAAUAUUCAGGAUUUUUACUUUGAGAAAAUUAGAGUGUUUCUAGCAGGCUAACGCUUUGAAUACUGCAGCAUGGAAUAAUAAAAUAGGAUUUUAGUUCUACAUUAUUGGUUUUAAGAACUAAAUUAAUGAUUGAUAGGGACAGUUGGGGGCAUUUGUAUUUAACUGUCAGAGGUGAAAUUCUUAGAUUUGUUAAAGACAAACUACUGCGAAAGCAUUUGCCAAAGAUGUUUUCAUUAAUCAAGAACGAAAGUUAGGGGAUCGAAGACGAUCAGAUACCGUCGUAGUCUUAACUAUAAACUAUGCCGACUAGAGAU
rnacentral:rRNA from 1 species